CACGUAGGGCGCGAGCGUUGUCCGGAAUUAUUGGGCGUAAAGAGCUCGUAGGCGGUUCGUCACGUCGGCUGUGAAAUCCCGAGGCUCAACCUCGGGUCUGCAGUCGAUACGGGCGGACUUGAGUACUGCAGGGGAGACUGGAAUUCCUGGUGUAGCGGUGAAAUGCGCAGAUAUCAGGAGGAACACCGGUGGCGAAGGCGGUUCUCUGGGCAUGUCCUGACGCUGAGGAGCGGAAAGUGUGGGGAGCGAACAGG
rnacentral:rRNA from 1 species